AUGGAACUCAUUUUGAUGUCAUGAAUAAGGGCAUUGUGAGUUUCCAUGUUCCCAAGCAUAUUUGAGACACAGGUUUGGAAACAAAAAUGACUUCACCAGUUAAAUAUUGUCAGAUCCUAUAGUAUAUCAAAGGCAGCUGUGGUGAUGUUAAAAAGUCAUGGCAGCCUGUGAACUGCUACACAGGGCAUGUGCCUCCUGGUUUCCUAGGUCUCAUUCAGUCUCUAAAGUGUCACCUGCUGCACCAGAUUGGGAUCGUGCUUUUCCAGGGUUUCCUGAAUGCAGGAGAAGGGUAAAGUACCUCAUCAAUGGACCGUACUUCAGAAGUGAAAUCUCAAACCUUGGCCAAUGCUGCUGAGAGUUCCUCUCUGCUAGGAAGCCAGCACACUUGGGCUUUUCCUGAGGUGUGGCCAUAAGUCCCCAUGGGAUACCAUAAGGAAAUCCUUGAGAAGGCCCUGCUGCUUCUACUUUGCACCUUGCCAUUUAGACAGAAAGCUACACCUUUGUUGCUGGGAUCUCAACAGCUUCUCACUCUCGAGGUGCCAUUGGACCUGACAAAGGUGGCACCAUUUUGUCCUCACAAUGCUGUGAUAGAAGAGUGGCCAGUGUUUUUUUCCUGCAUGUCCCUCCAGCCCAGUUUUUCUCAGCAGAAUUCCCAUCAGAGUUCUGACCCUGAGCCCUGAAGUUUGAUGGGAGCAAGGAGCUUUGCAGUGGAACAGUACCUAACCACAACACAAGAUGGCUUUUCUCUGUCACCGGACAGAAGUCAUCAGGGCAGGGGACGCUCUGACUUUCUGAGAGGCAUGAAUUGACCUUCCGCCCUUCACCAGCUUCCUGAGGAAUAUAAGCCUGGAAUUUUGAGAACUGCUGGCCAUCGGAUGAAAGCCCCUAAUACUAUGAUGGACCAUAGAAACUUGCCCAUCUGGACCUCUUCCUUACCUUCUAGAAGAGGAGAGAAUAGCUAAGUUUGAGCAGAAAACUGCUGCAAUUGAUUGAAUUGUUUGAAAUGUAUUUUCAAAGUGCAAUAUUGAAAAAAGCAGAAAUCGCAAGAAGCACCCCUUAAAUCAUCCUCAAACCAA